CCUACGGGCGGCAGCAGUGAGGAAUAUUGGUCAAUGGCCGUAAGGCUGAACCAGCCAAGUAGCGUGAGGGAAGACUGCCCUAUGGGUUGUAAACCUCUUUUAUGCGGGGAUAAAGGUGUACACGUGGGGAUGUUUGCAGGUACCGCAUGAAUAAGGACAGGCUAAUUCCGUGCCAGCAGCCUCGGUACUACGGAGGGUCCGGGCGUUAUCCGGAUUUAUUGGGUUUAAAGGGAGCGUAGGCGGGUGGUUAAGCGUGCAGUGAAAUUUUGUGGCUCAACCAUGAGCGUGCGGCGCGUACUGGAGACCUUGAGUGCGCGGAAGGCAGGCGGAAUUCGUGGUGUAGCGGUGAAAUGCUUAGAUAUCACGAAGAACCCCGAUUGCGAAGGCAGCCUGCCGCAGCGUUACUGACGCUGAAGCUCGAAAGCGCGGGUAUCGAACAGGAUUAGAUACCCCGGUAGUC
rnacentral:rRNA from 1 species